UGGUGCCAGCAGCCGCGGUAAUUCCAGCUCCAAUAGCGUAUAUUAAAGUUGUUGCAGUUAAAAAGCCCGUAGUUGAACUUCAGGCCUGGUGGGGUGGUCCGCUUAACGGCGUGUACUGCUCUGCUGGGUCUUACCUCUUGGUGAGCCGGCGUGGCCUUCACUGGUUGCGUCGGGGAACCAGGACUUUUACCUUGAGAAAAUUAGAGUGUUCAAAGCAGGCCUAUGCCUGAAUACAUUAGCAUGGAAUAAUAAAAUAGGACGUGCGGUUCUAUUUUGUUGGUUUCUAGAGUCGCCGUAAUGAUUAAUAGGGAUAGUUGGGGGCAUUGGUAUUGAGUCGCUAGAGGUGAAAUUCUUGGAUUGACUCAAGACCGACUACUGCGAAAGCAUUUGCCAAGGAUGUUUUCAUUAAUCAAGGACGAAGGUUAGGGGAUCGAAAACGAUCAGAUACCGUUGUAGUCUUAACAGUAAACUAUGCCGACUAGGGAUCGGGCGACCUCAAAUUUGAUGUGUCGCUCGGCACCUUACGAGAAAUCAAAGUUUUUGGGUUCU
rnacentral:rRNA from 1 species